rnacentral:rRNA from 1 species
UGUAAGCGUAUACCAAAGUUGUUGCAGUUAAAACGCUCGUAGUCGGAAUUUGGCAGUUCCGGAUGUGUGCACGUCGUGUGCGCACUUCGCGGGGAUUGCUUUUGUGGUCUUGCGUAGGAUGAGGCACUUUUAUUAGUGAACGUCCUCACGCAACCACUUUUUACUGUGAGAAAAUCAGAGUGCUCAAAGCAGGCAUUUGCCGUGAAUGUAUUAGCAUGGAAUAAUAGAAUAGGACCUGGUUCUAUUUUGUUGGUUUGUUGGGACUGAGUAAUGAUUAAGAGGGACAGUUGGGGGCAUUUGUAUUUCGGUGCUAGAGGUGAAAUUCUUAGAUUACCGAAAGACAAACUGCUGCGAAAGCGUCUGCCAAGGACGUUUUCAUUGA